rnacentral:tRNA from 1 species
GCUCCCUUCGUCUAUCGGUUGGGACGCAAGGUUUUCAACCUUGAAAAGGGGUUCGAUUCCCCUAGGGAGCGCCA